GCUCAUAACUAUGCAAUGAGAUUGCAGGGGCACGAUCUAUACACCAAUACUGCUUCAUUAAGCUAAAGUUGAUUUUGUGUGUAUAGGUUUCCUUUAACCCCUUAAGGACCAAACUUCUGGAAUAAAAGGGAAUCCUGACAUGUCACACAUAUCAUGUGUCCUUAAGGGGUUAAACCAAUGUUCCUGUGGAUUUAAAAAAUUGUGCAUAUCAGUUAUACAGAUUCCAAAUUGCCUACCAACCAACCCAUUAUUAAAAACAGUGCUCUUACAGAAAUAAAAACUAAUUUAUGUAUUUACAAAAAAUUAACAAAAACGACUUUAAAGGAACACUAUAGUCCCCCAAAUUACUUUAGCUAAAUAAAGCAGUUUUAGUGUAUAGAUCAUUCCCCUGCAAUUUCACUGCUCAAUUCACUGUCAUUUAGGAGUUAAAUCACUUUGUUUCUG